rnacentral:rRNA from 1 species
UACAAAGGGGGCUAGCGUUGCUCGGAAUCACUGGGCGUAAAGGGUGCGUAGGCGGGUUUUUAAGUCAGGGGUGAAAUCCUGGAGCUCAACUCCAGAACUGCCUUUGAUACUGAAGAUCUUGAGUCCGGGAGAGGUGAGUGGAACUGCGAGUGUAGAGGUGAAAUUCGUAGAUAUUCGCAAGAACACCAGUGGCGAAGGCGGCUCACUGGCCCGGUACUGACGCUGAGGCACGAAAGCGUGGGGAGCAAACAGG